rnacentral:rRNA from 1 species
GAUGAACGCUGGCGGCGUGCCUAAUACAUGCAAGUCGAGCGAACAGACGAGGAGCUUGCUCCUCUGACGUUAGCGGCGGACGGGUGAGUAACACGUGGAUAACCUACCUAUAAGACUGGGAUAACUUCGGGAAACCGGAGCUAAUACCGGAUAAUAUAUUGAACCGCAUGGUUCAAUAGUGAAAGACGGUUUUGCUGUCACUUAUAGAUGGAUCCGCGCCGCAUUAGCUAGUUGGUAAGGUAACGGCUUACCAAGGCAACGAUGCGUAGCCGACCUGAGAGGGGGGUCGGCCCACACGGAACCGGGAACCGGUCCCGAAUCCCAAGGGGGGGAGGCAGAGGGAAUUUUUCGGAAAGGGGGAAAAGCUGACGGGACAACCGCCCGGGAGGGAAGAAGGUUUUUGGAUUGUAAAACCCUGUUAUUAGGGAAAAAAAAAAGGUUAAAUAAACUUGCACCGCUUUACGGGAACUAAACAAAAAGCCACCGCUAACUUAGGG